rnacentral:rRNA from 1 species
GAUGAACGCUGGCGGCGUGCCUAAUACAUGCAAGUCGAGCGAACGGACGAGAAGCUUGCUUCUCUGAUGUUAGCGGCGGACGGGUGAGUAACACGUGGAUAACCUACCUAUAAGACUGGGAUAACUUCGGGAAACCGGAGCUAAUACCGGAUAAUAUUUUGAACCGCAUGGUUCAAAAGUGAAAGACGGUCUUGCUGUCACUUAUAGAUGGAUCCGCGCUGCAUUAGCUAGUUGGUAAGGUAACGGCUUACCAAGGCAACGAUGCAUAGCCGACCUGAGAGGUGGAUGGGCAACCUGGGACCGGAGCACGGGUCCGGCUCCUAAGGGAGGGAGCAAGUGGGGAACUUUCGGAAUGGGGCGAAGGCUUAAGGAGGAAACGCGGGGGGGGUGAUGAGGGCUUCCGGUUCGAAAACCUUGGUAUUAGGGAAGGAACAAUGGUGAAGUAACUGUGCACAUCUUGACGGUACCUAAUCAGAAAGCCACGGCUAACUACGUG